rnacentral:antisense_RNA from 1 species
AAGGACUGUGCUCCCAAUCCGCUUAUGCUCAAGGAAGAACUGGCCCAGAACCAGCCUGAUGUCAGGAUCAGAACAAAAGAGGAGGACUGCAUAUGUAUGGACCCACUCCAGAUGGCACGGGGACGGGGGGGAGUAGGAAAAGUGGCAUGGGUUACUCAGGCUGAAAUGCUCAAGACACUCUGUCUCAAGGGAUUUGUGGCUGGUUCAUCCUCAAGUAUAGGGGGAAUAGUGGCCAGGAAGAUCUCAGAGGUGGCUUCUGGAAGAGGAACCUGGGUACUGGCUACCCUGCCUUGUGUCCCAUCAUUGGUCUGUCUUGCCUGCCUUGGAGCACAUUUCUCACCAAGCCCCCUGCUGAAAUCAUGGAGUAAAAAAGAGACACGGGGAAUGGAGGACCCAGAGAGAAAGCAGUGUGAUCACAGGCACACGGGACAGCAGCCCAGCUUCCCGUCCUUGCUGGCUUUUGCAUAAAUACUUCUAAGGGGCCAGGCGUGGUGACUCACGCUUGUAAUUCCAAGCACUUUGGCAGGCUGAGGCAGGUGGAUCACCUGAAGCCAGGAGUUCAAGAGCAGCCUGGCCAACAUGGCAAAACCCUGUCUAUACUAAAAAUACAAAAAUUAGCCAGGCAUGGUGGCGGGAGCCUGUAAUCUCAGCUCCUAGGGAGGCUGAGCCAGGAGAAUCGCUUAAACCUGGAAGCUGGAGGUUGCAGUGAGCCAAGAUCACACCACCACACUCCAGCCUGGGUGACAGAGCAAGACUCCAUCUCAAAAAGAAAAAAAAAAAAAAAA